GCUGGGCACGGUGGCACAUACCUGUAAUCCUAGCAUCUUGGGAGGCUGAGGCAGGAGGAGUUCAAAGCCAGCCUUAGCAACUUAACAAGAUCCUGUCUCAA
rnacentral:sRNA from 1 species